GACGAACGCUGGCGGCGUGCUUAACACAUGCAAGUCGAACGGAAAGGCUCCAGCUUGCUGGAGUCCUCGAGUGGCGAACGGGUGAGUAACACGUGGGUAAUCUGCCCUGCACUCUGGGAUAAGCCUGGGAAACUGGGUCUAAUACUGGAUAUGACCUUUCUCCUUAUGGGGUUUGGUGGAAAGUUUUUCGGUGUAGGAUGAGCCCGCGGCCUAUCAGCUUGUUGGUGGGGUGAUGGCCUACCAAGGCGACGACGGGUAGCCGGCCUGAGAGGGUGAUCGGCCACAUUGGGACUGGGAUACGGCCCAGACUCCUACGGGAGGCAGCAGUGGGGAAUAUUGCACAAUGGGCGGAAGCCUGAUGCAGCGACGCCGCGUGAGGGAUGACGGCCUUCGGGUUGUAAACCUCUUUCAGCAGGGACGAAGCGUAAGUGACGGUACCUGCAGAAGAAGCACCGGCUAACUAUGUG
rnacentral:rRNA from 1 species